AAAAAAUCCACGAACCGCACGCACGCACUAGCGAGCGAGGCCUCCAGAGUGCCCUCGAGAGACUCAUGAUUCCCUAGCCAGGGUUCCUAGCCCCUCCUCCUCCCCCGCCCCUCCUACUCCGCCGCUGCCGACCGCUUCCUGACCUCGCCGGGAGCAGACAACAGGACCCCACCGCCGUGCCUCCCUCUCUCCUUUCUCCUCUUUCCUCUCUCUCUCUCUCUCUCUCUCUCUCUCUCUCUCUCUCUCUCUCUCUCUCUCUUCUCUGAACUACGUGUCAUUCCUCUCUGCAGGUGCCUUCAUGGCCGCGUCAUGGAUCUCGCCGCCGUGGGCUGCUUGCUCCUCCUCCGACGGCCUACCUCGCCCACGUCCAGGUCUAACUCAUGGGACGAGGACGAUGCCGCCACCAUCGCGAAUCUCUAUGGCAGGCUGUGACCGUGGCCGUGGCGCGAGGAGCGACGAGCUCCGCAAGGGCAUGCCCUGGAGUGAGGAGGAGCACAGAGUCGUCUGCUUCAUAGGAUGGUGCUACACUGAUCCUCAAGACCACAAAUUUAUGCAAUUUCCUUUUUUCUUUAUCAUGUGGAUGUCAACAAAAAGGGACCCGUGUUAUAUUGUCAGGUGCCAGAUUCAAUUGUUUGCAUCGAAGUUGUUUGGAUUCACCGGGAGGAAGCGGUCAGUCAUUUUUCGUCCACACCUAAUUGACUACAAUUUCAGAUUAGUUUUUUGUUUUUGCAGCAAUUCGAAAAUGCAGAACACAUGUUCAUCUUCCUCCAACCUACAUAGUCAAUAUUAAUAGUUUUUAUGAUGAUACAUGAGCUAGUACUAUGGCUCAUUUUGAUCUGCUAUUUGGAUAAAUACACUUUUGUGGAAUUGUGCGUACUUCUCUUCAUGUUGUUUACAGGCAGCCAAAGUUACACAUCCAGCCAUGACGACUACAUGUAAUUGUUUGUACAUAAGCCUCAGCUCAAGAUAAGGUUGAUGGAAGUACUUUCCAUAUAUGUUCUCCCCAUUUAAAAAAAUAGGUUGUGCUUUACGACCCUAAUGAGGGAUUCCACAAGAAAUAUUUCCCAAUCGGGAGAGGUUUUGUAUCAAUUAUAUGAGAAGUGCAAUAUUUAGUAUGUGUUUUUCUUGCUUAUGUUUUCAACCAAUGUAUCAUCUAGCAACCUCUAUUCCAAAAACUACCGCACUUUCAUUGAAAAAAUAACAAUUGUACUUGAUGGACAACAAUGGAUGUGGGCUAGCAAAAUAGAUGUGAUCUCUUUUCGCCUUUUUCAAAUAUCUUCAGAAUUGUACACUCACUCACCAUAUUACUCUUUUGAUCUCCAUAGAGGAUUAUGUUUU